rnacentral:tRNA from 1 species
CGGGGUGUAGCGUAGCCUGGUAGCGCGCCUGCUUUGGGAGCAGGAUGUCGGGAGUUCGAAUCCCCCCACCCCGACCA